AGGUGUGAUCAUACAAGUGUUAAUGCACCAGAUCCCAUAAGAACUCCCUAGUUAAGCACGCUUGGGCUAGAGUAGUAAUGGGAUGGGUGACCUCCCCGGAAGCCCUAGUGUUGCACCCU
rnacentral:rRNA from 1 species